rnacentral:rRNA from 1 species
AGAUUGAACGCUGGCGGCAGGCCUAACACAUGCAAGUCGAGCGGCAGCACGGGUACUUGUACCUGGUGGCGAGCGGCGGACGGGUGAGUAAUGCCUAGGAAUCUGCCUGAUAGUGGGGGAUAACGUUCGGAAACGGACGCUAAUACCGCAUACGUCCUACGGGAGAAAGUCGGGGGAUCUUCGGACCUCACGCUAUCAGAUGAGCCUAGGUCGGAUUAGCUAGUGGUAGGGUAAAGCCUACCAAGGCUACGAUCCGUAACUGGUCUGAGAGGAUGAUCAGUCACACUGGAACUGAGACACGGUCCAGACUCCGUACGGGAGGCAGCAGUGGGAAUAUUGGACAAUGGGCGAAAGCCUAGGACUCCGAGCCCAGUCGCCGCGUGUGUAGAAGAGGUUCUUCGGAUUAGAAGCUAACGUUUAAGGU